rnacentral:lncRNA from 1 species
CCCCAAACGGAGAAAGGUUGAUAUUAUGGUCCUACGAGUAAAAGCACGAAACUUUCACUACCCACGUGAUAGUCUAGUUGGAAUGGGUUAUUAACCACAUUCCCUCAUGUCCGAGGUUCGAGCCACAAUGAGAGUCGAUUAAAUGAGGAUUUAAUCCGAUGCCUGGAUAUGGCGGAGUGGGGUGGUUUCUGUUCUCUCUGGUGCAUGGAUGGUGCUGAGAUGACGUACACACCCAUUGUGAUGGCCAAGAACCUCAUGUAUGGUGGAGAGUGAUUGAGCCGGUUUUCAUUGUUGCCACACAUCGAAUAUUCCCCAGCGGAGUGAGGCCCCCCUCACUCCAUUUUUUGUACUAAAAAAAAAAGCAUGAAACUUUCACAAUUGCUAAGGAGGAUCCC